rnacentral:antisense_RNA from 1 species
UGUGGGAGCUGGCUUGCCUGCGAUCCCGGUGGGUCAGGCGAAGCCAAUUUGGCUGAUAAACCGCUAUCGCAGGCAAGCCAGCUCCCACA